UCAUCCUUCUUGUUCCUCUUAUUUUCUUGGUUGAUGUGCUAAUCAUUUUAGUCAUCUAGAAGAUGAUUGAAAAACUGUGACGAGAAAUGAGAGAUGGACUCGGAUAUUUUGCCUCGUCAUGUCGCAUGGUGGCCGAGAUGCGGCAGCCCCAUGCUCUGUUCCGGUGGGCCUCCUCUGCUCGAUGGUUGCGGCUGGUUGAGUUUGGUACGGUUUCUUGUUGUCGCUUGCGGUGAGCCUUGUGUCCGUCUCUCCAUCUCAUUGAUACUACUUCUCCUGUCACUGGCGCUUCUUCUUCUCGUCCGUCCUGCUGCUUACCCAAUGUGCUUCUGCUUGCUGCCUUGGGUUGUAUGAUCUUUUCUGUCGCCGCAUUGUUCGACUCAUCAGGGUUUUCUUCUUUUCUUUCUACUACCUGUGUGCAUGUUUUACUUUCAGUAUCUUAUGUGUCUUGCUGUCUGCCUUGGUGAUCUUUUAAAUAUCUAUAUGUCGUGUUGAUCGUUUAAAUGUUCUGGAUAUGGUCAGGUGUUGUGUGUUGUUCGUUCUCGUGCUGCUUAUAUUUCGUGUAUACGUGUGAGAAGGAUGUGUACGCUUGUUUCCGUCCAUGAUGAAUCUCUGGUAGGACGAUUCCUUCCUUGGUUUCUCCUAUUCCAGAUUCAAUUUCCCAAAUUAGGAUACUAUUUUUUUCGAUGUGUCUUUUACAACUUUCAGUUUGAUAUAUGAGAGGGCCUGCAGAAGAUGAUCAAGCAAUGGAGACCUAAUUCGUGAACCUUGCCACACACUGGCAGGAAGGGAGAGGCGAGAGAAAGUUAGGCCAGGAACAACCAUUCUUGUCUAAAUAAUUAUCGUGUUAGAUAUCACAUCUCCAGAGAAGUAUAGGAUCCAUAGGCUAAAUGUGCUUAUAUACAUAUGUUUUGCCAUUUUAAGUAAAGGAUCUGGAGGUUCCCUGUAGGCUAGAGUUGCUUAUGUACGUAUGUUGUGCCAUUGUACAUUUGAGCCCUAUGGUGAUGAUCAAUGCAAAAUUGCGUCUUCCCAUGGCUUUGAGUUGACAAGCAUUUAAGGGGUUCUUUUACUUGCCAGGAUCAGUGUGUUCUCGACUUGUUGUGUCUCUGCAUUCUCUCUCAGCGGCCAUGUUGGUUCCUGAGCACCAUUUAUUCUUUAACAUUGAAGAAUCAGAUUUGGUGCUCAGACCUGAAAUUCAGAAAGAAAGAAAGAAGCAUUUGCUAGGUUCAACAAACGACGACCUUCACUGCCAUUAUAAAAGGCCAUGUUGCACAAGUGUUUCGGGUUUCAAUUCAGGGAGGUGACACCUUGAUGAAAUAUUUGUUCUACAAUAGGUGUUGCUGAAGCUGGAGUCAUGAUGGCGUUAGUAACCUUGGAGGUGCUUCUUAUACGGCAAACCAACUGCCAGAUGUUGCAUAUAGGAGUAUUGUGGAGCUAAUAAUAUUUGAAUAUGAGCUAGCCUACUAUUUCAAUUUGAGUUCAAAAAUUACAAAUGUCAGUGUUUGUUUUCAGUUAUCAAUCUUCUUCCCUUCUCGUUUUUUGGGUCACUUUUGAUAGCUCCAUUCAUUCUGUACAUAUUAGCUGCCGCCUCAAGCCUUGGCUAUUUUCUAGACUAGGCCUCAAUUUGCUGGAAAAUGCAGUCUUCAUUUACUGAGUUAUAUUUUUGUCUUGCUUUCUUCCAGAUCCCUCAUACAGUAGUUUGGAAAAAAAUCUAUCCAAUGGUGAUGAUGCAUGAGGAGCAGCAAGGUCAUGAUCCAUGAAGCCCUAUGUUCUUUUCCUCACCGGCUCUUUCUAGAUUGCUCAGCAGGCGAUCAACGCGACACAUGUGGAGGCUAUGAGAGCUAUGAAUGGCAUCGGUCUUGUCAUUCUUAUGAGCAGGAGCAUGGGCCACAUUACUCUUCAUGCCACUCUAAGCAGCCAGAGGUGUUGACUGCUGCUUGUAUCCUGAGAUUGAUAUCCACGUUGAAGGGAAGGGAGACCUGUUUGAGUUCCUGUAUGAAAGGAUAAAGAAGAAGGGGCAUGCUGUCAUGGUUGCUGAAGGCGUUGGUCAGGAGUUGAUUACCCGGAUUGAUGACCAGAGAGCAUGAUGUUCCUUGAUGUUAGCCUUCUUCUAUAAAGUUUACAUGCAAUUCUCCUCCAUGGUUAAGAAAAACCAAUUUAAAUGUUUUGUUUCUUUGAUGGUUACUCAUUUCUCUUACCGUUGUUGUAUCAAAACAAUUGUAUUUUCGUUGAAGGCCACUUGGGCUCAUUUUUGAGGAGAAUGAGAUGUGCGAUAAACUACUCUGAAA